rnacentral:tRNA from 1 species
CGGGGAGUGGCGCAGCCUGGUAGCGCACCUGCUUCGGGAGCAGGGGGUCGCAGGUUCGAAUCCUGUCUCCCCGA